GGAUUAUUGGGGCGUAAAGGGCUCGCAGGCGGUUUCUUAAGUCUGAUGUGAAAGCCCCCGGCCCCUUCGGGGAGGGUCAUUGGAAACUGGGAAACUUGAGUGCACACCAGAAGAGUGGAAUUCCACGUGUAGCGGUGAAAUGCGUAGAGAUGUGGAGGAACACCAGUGGCGAAGGCGACUCUCUGGUCUGUAACUGACGCUGAGGAGCGAAAGCGUGGGGAGCGGAGAGGAUUAUAUACCCUGGUAGUCCACGCCGUAAACGAUGAGUGCUAAGUGUUAGGGGGUUUCCGCCCCUUAGUGCUGCAGCUAACGCAUUAAGCACUCCGCCUGGGGAGUACGGUCGCAAGACUGAAACUCAAAGGAAUUGACGGGGGCCCGCACAACCGGUGGAGCAUGUGGUUUAAUU
rnacentral:rRNA from 1 species